CAACUCUUAUCUAGGCCACAGACAAACUGGCACCAUUCUGCAGCUUAUCCCAGUUCUGCAAAAGGCACUCAAACACAAAGU